AAACAUCUYUUUUUGAAUAUAAUUUAAAGUUUAAUCUGCUCAAUGAUUUAUUAAAUAGCUGCAGUAAUAUAACUGUACAAAGGUAGCAUAAUCAAUAGUUUUUUAAUUGAAAGCUGGAAUGAAGGAUUGGAUGAAAUAAUAAUUGUCUCAAAUUUAAUAAAAUUAGAAUUUUUUUUUUAGUUAAAAAGCUAAAUUGAUUUUAAAAGACGAGAAGACCCUAUAGAUUUUUAUAAUUUGUAUAUAUAAUAAUAAUAAUAUAAUUUUUAAUUAAUUAUAUAAAUUAUUUAAUUGGGGAAAUUAUUAAAUUUAAUAAAUUUUAAUUUUUAUUAAACAAAAAUUAUUGAAUAAAUGAUCUUAAAUAUAGAUAAUAAGAAUAAAAUACCUUAGGGAUAACAGCAUAAUAUUUUUAGAAAGAUCAUAUUAAUAAAAAUGUUUGUGACCUCGAUGUUGAAUUAAAAUAAAAUUAUAAUGAAGAGAUUAUAAAUUUUUGGUCUGUUCGACCAUUAAAAUUUUACAUGAUCUGAGU
rnacentral:rRNA from 1 species